GUCACAAGCUAAACUCACCUGAGAGGUAUAAAACUCAAUUGAAAAAUGUCUCCAUUUUGAGGAACUGUGAGUGAAAUAAACCCUUUCCUCUCCCUAUUGCAUUGGUCAUGGUGUUUUAUCACAGCAGUGGAAAUCAUACCUAAGACAAGUAGGUACCAGAAUAGAGGGGCAUUGCUGUGACAGACCUGAUCAGGUUUUGGUAAAAAUUGUGCAAGGACUUUGUAACUAUGGGCUACAAGAACUAUUAAGUAUCAAGAGCUCAAUGGACUGUUUUGUUGGAGUUUUGAAGAUAAAAAUGUCAAGAACCAUACAGACAAUGGAGGCUUGACUUGUGAAAUCAGAAGGCAUGAAAGGUACAGAGCCAUUUAUGGAGAGAAUCUGUGGCAUCUGGUCAGUUAGAGCUGUGAAUAACAAGAGAAAAGAAGCAAUAAAGUGAAUUUGUUUUAUUGGAGGAGUUGAAAUUGGCUAGUUGGGGCUAAGAAAUUAGCAUUGAUUAAGAAGCCAGCAUCAUUGAGGUGAAAUAUUCUGAGAAGUAUUUUCUGAAUAUCAAUUCAAAGAAGCUAUGUUCUAGAAACAACUAAGAUUGUUUCUCAUGCUGGCAGCUGAACUUGGGUGUGUAGGAGUUGCCCAGGUAGUGCUAAUUUCUAAGUCAUAAUGGGAUCAUGGAGAACAGCUGAGAAAGCACUUUGAGAGUCCAGAAAAGACCCACCAUUGGUGAAGUUGCAGCCUCAGUAGCAGUUUGAACACACAAGACUAAAGGGGUCAUGAAAAACAAGUUGAGGCUUGGCACUAUGGAAAACCUAGAAAAGGCUGUUGGUGAAAGUACUAUCAAUUGCAGCAGAUCCCAGCAUUUUGUAGAUGUUAGUAUCAUGGGAUUUAAAACAAGAACAGUGGCAGUCAAGUUGACCUGCACAAGUUUAGAAGGAGAGCUGUGUGGGCUGCAGAACGUAGAGCUGGUGAAGUGAGUCAAAAGGUACCUGGAUGGUGAGUACUGCCCAGAUAUUAGACAUUAUCUUAUUUACAUCGUCAGGAGGUUGUCUUUACUUUGAUCACUGGUUAUUCUCUCUUGAAGUAGGAAAGUAUUUAACUUAUUUUUUACUUUAUAGGAGCCCACAGUUUGACUUAGAAAUUUUUAGAGAGAUUUUUGGAUUUUUAAAGAGACUUGAUUAUUUUUUUUUUUACAGAGACUGAAUUUUAAUGUGUUUGAACUUGUAAAGAGUAUGAGACCUUUAAAUAUUUUUAUGUUACCAAUGUGAUAUAUUGUUGAUGAAUGAGAAAGAAAAUCCUGUGGCUUGAAAGUAAUGUGUUUGUGUAUCAAAUGGAAAAAUGUCAGUUGUGCUGGAUAGGUCCAUGUCAACUGGACAUAGGUUAAACUACCUGAGAGGGGAGAAUGUCAAUUAAGAAAAUGCCUCCACAAGAUCAGGCUGUAGGCAAACAAAUGUGUAGGACAUUUCUUAAUUAUUAAUUGAUGAUAGAGGGCCCAACCAAUUGUGGGUGGUGCCAUCUAUGGGCUGGUGAUCCUGUGUUCAAUAAGAAAACAGGCUAAGGAUAUCAUGGGGAGUCAGUCAGUAGGCAGUACUUGAACUCUUUUAUGUGGUACUAUAAGUGAAAUGAACUUUGUUUGCCCCUCCCCCAUUGCAUUCGAUCAUGGUGUUCAAUAGAACAGCAAUAGAAAGUCUGAGUCUUCAAAGAGAAGAGGCAAACCUCCGGUUCUCAGAAAUGAUCCUUUAAAUGUUCAUAUUUGUGGGUUUUGAACUCUUAUUUUGAAUACAGAAGGCAAGGCCUAUUCUGCUUUUAACACCUUGUACCAUGUGGACAAAGUACUAACUUACAGAAAUUAUUUCCUAGGUUCAUUUAUAUUGCCUAUCACAUGUAAAAAUAUACUUGCUUAUAGUCAGAAGACCUCUGGCAUUUGUUUCAUACCACUCGCAUAUGUCCAUGUUUUUUGUAAAACUUAAAAGUAUUGUCUUCUAAAAUUUCCUCAUUGAAAUUCAGUAUUUUAGACUAAAAAGUCUUAGGUAUGCCCAGCAAUUACAUAUUCCAAGUUAUAAUGAAUGUGAAUAUCAUAUAAUUGCAACUGAGGACAUUGAGUCAAAUGUGCUAUGAUUUGAGAGAGCUGUUGAUUAACUAUACUAGGGAAAAAAGAUGCUCUGGUAGAGCACAAAUUUCCAAAUUAAUUUACUUUUCACAAACAAUUCUAUUCUUUCAAAGAAAGAGUAUUUUAAUUGGGUAACACCAAUCCAUAUUCCUUCUGGGGGAUCUGUCCUGAUUGCAUAUAUGUUCCAAUUCCUCAUUAUUGAUUAGAUGGACAAAGUUUACCAUUUCAACCAAUUGAAGUUUUCUAAUUUAUCUAUAAAGAAUCAACUUGGACUCUGUGAGAUAUCCUAAUAGCUAAAAGUAUUUGCCAUACAAUACUGACAUUCUGAAUUAAUCCUCAAAACCCACACUGAAAAGAACCAUAUCUAAUGCUAAAUUGCACUCCUUUCUGCACAUAUACCAUGACACAUUCAUGUGUGUUCUAUAUCUAUCUCUCUGUCCCUCUGUCCCUCUGUCACUCUCUUACUACUACUACUACAACUAUUAAAUGGGAAAUGUAAUGGGGGGUGGAUAUGGAAGACUUUUGGGAUAGCAUUGGAAAUGUAAAUGAGCUAAAUAUCU
rnacentral:lncRNA from 1 species